rnacentral:rRNA from 1 species
GAUGAACGCUGGCGGCGUGCUUAACACAUGCAAGUCGAACGAAGCACUUUACCUGAUUUCCUUCGGGGAUGAUUGUUCUGUGACUGAGUGGCGGACGGGUGAGUAACGCGUGGAUAACCUGCCUCACACAGGGGGAUAACAGUUGGAAACGACUGCUAAUACCGCAUAAGCGCACAGCACCGCAUGGUGCAGUGUGAAAAACUCCGGUGGUGUGAGAUGGAUCCGCGUCUGAUUAGCUUGUUGGCGGGGUAACGGCCCACCAAGGCGACGAUCAGUAGCCGGCCUGAGAGGGCGACCGGCCACAUUGGGACUGAGACACGGCCCAGACUCCUACGGGAGGCAGCAGUGGGGAAUAUUGCACAAUGGGGGAAACCCUGAUGCAGCGACGCCGCGUGAGCGAUGAAGUAUUUCGGUAUGUAAAGCUCUAUCAGCAGGGAAGAUAAUGACGGUAC